GGCAGUGGGGAAGGGGCUUGGGGGAAUCCCAAGGGGUGGAGCCGAGUUUGGGGGGGGCAGCACCGGCCCCAGGAUGGAUCGGGAAUGGGGACCCCCCUGUGUUCUCCCCUGUCAGCCCGCUCUGGGGGGGCUUUGGGAGGGCACCUGCUCCUCAAUGAGGCACCCAGCACACUUCGAAAGGUGCUGGGAACCACCUAAACUUCCACACAGGCUCUGGAGGACUGCCUAAACAUACUCAGAGCCCACCCAGGACCCCACACAACCCUUUUCUGGAGGGACUUCUCUGGGCACUGGUGGUGCUGGGAGCCCCCCCAGUUGCAGGCAAGGAGCUCUCGGGUGAGAGCUCUCUGGCAGAGAGAGAGCCAAGGGACAGGGCCACGGGCAGGGCCCCGGGUGAGGGACAGGCAGGGCCAUUGCAGGGCCACGGUGAGGGCACAGCCUGUGUCAGCAGAGCUGCCCAGGGCCGGGGGCAGCCGGGGGUGUUGGGACCAGGCAGUGGUGGGGCCGAGCAGAGCACAAGGCCUCUUGCAGACCCCUGGAGCAACCUCCCACUUGCCAACCCUGCCCUGGUGGGCUGACACU